ACCUGGAAGGAAAACAGGGGUGGUUAUAAGGUUUAUUUAUGUCCGGUUGAGUUGUGGCGAAGCGGGAGGCUGGAUGAUGGCUCGUUGCGAGACUGGAGGUUCAACAGUGGCUCGUGGCGUGACAGGAUGGAUCCGUGAGGAACUGUUAUUCAGGAAGGCUGGAGACUCAGGUGACCACUUGUGGUAAUGAUGUCCUGAGAACGAGGCUUAGAACGGGGUUAAACGAGAGCAAAGAUACAUGGACUAAGUAAACUUAGCAACCAGGCUAUGCACCAUCAGGGGCAAUGAACUGGAGAAGAAUACUGGUUCUGGAUCUCUUUAAGAAGGUCUGGAGGCAUGAUGAGGUGAGUGGACACAGCUGAGUCGAAAUCAGGAACCAAGCAGAGAGGGGAGGGGGAAGAGAGCUGCCAGAGGCACCAUGACUAUAUGGACAGCAUUGAAGGAAACAUCAGACGAAAUCAGAAGGAAGAAGACCAUAUUCGUUGGCCGCGUUUGAAGGAGUAGUUGAUUUGGACAGCAUUUGUGGUGGCGCUGUGACGUAAGCGGCCUUCAACUGCAGCCCAGGAGGAACGCAGUCCUCCGGUUUGGACACAGCCAAUGUCAUCUUAUUUAAAAGCAGAUCAGGAACCUUUCCUGCAGCUUGUCAACCAUCAUUUUAAUCUAAAUCUGCCUCGGUUCCUCGUUGUCGUCCAGCGGGCAAAUCAGGAGUUUGUUAGUUUGUUAUUUUGCAGCAACAUUUUGCUCAACUUUUUCAUGUUUUUUGCAGAAAAAUGUAAUCAAAAAUCUGUUUCUAAACGUUGACACCCAAAGUUGCUUCUCCGUCAGCUACAGACGACCAAACAAACAUCCAACUAAUCACCAUAAAUUAUCAUAACUGCAGAGGAGGUGGACCUGACAGAUCAAUUCAGCACAAAAGCUGACCCAGCAACCCCCAGCUUGCAGCAUCCAAGCCGUUGCCAUAACAACUCGCUACAAUAACAGCGCUGAUUCAGAGCCCUGGUGGAACCUCUGACCCAAACUUUUCCCAGCAGCAGAAAUCCUUCAGCAUCCCACCGUGGACACUUUGAGAGCCACGAGGCAGACGGCGAGCGAGGAGCGAGCCUCCAGAAGACGUUCAUCCCUGGGAAACGCUCUGCUCUGGCCGCGAGGAGCUGCAGGAUUUCUGCUUUAAACCGUCCUCAGAGGGGCUCCGUCACACUCCCAACACUUUCAAAUUACCUCUCCUGGAAAAGAAAAAAGAGUGUUUAAAGAAAGAAAAGCCUCACCUUGGAGGCACUAACCGAGUCAGGCUUCAUUACUCCCCCCGUCUGCCCCUCUGCUUUUCUUCAUUCCGUCUUUCUGUGAAGCGUGAAACCUCGUCACUCUGCAGGUUGUCGUAUGAGCCUCGAGGGAACUGCAAGACACACCUCCCCUUAAGAUGCAACCCCCCCAUACAACCCUCCACGGACUAGGACAACCCAAAAACCUGGAUGGAUGGACACAUGUGACUGAGUUUUCUGUUGGAGCUUCAUCUCAAUAAAAGUCAAACCAGCAGAAACCAGCAGUCCUGGUGGUUGAGGAGCCGCCAUCAUCCGUGAGGAGCAAACAAGGAGGCGUCCUUCAACGGGACAGGCGCGCAAACAAGCGCUCGCCGCCAUCUGAAAGGGAAGGGACUUUCAUUAAAGUCCUGCACAAUAAAUAAGAGAAGAAACACGAUUGAUCACUGAAGCAGCAAUUUUUCUUCCUCCUCCUCAUUUCUGCAGCUCUUCAUCAUCACUGAUGUGUGUCAGCAGGUUCAAUACCCACAAGGCGUCGUCAUGGCGCCACCUGACCCGACUAAUCCCAUUUAAAAGCCAUUACACAAAUAGAUUAAAAAAAGGUCGUUACUAAUAUAUUAGACGUGUCAAUGUCGCUCUAAAUUCACCACAUAUCAGAGAAGUCGUUAAGAAAUCUGGGUCAGCGCGGACCCACGCCCCCCACCACCCUCACACCCGUUAUUAAUGUCAUUCAGAAGUGAGAGUGACAGUCCAGAAUGACUGAAGCUGGAUCCGCGUGUGUGUGAUGGAUGAAGUCAGGUAAGCGUGGAGCCCCGCCCACUCGCUCUGCUAACUGUGAUGUGAAACUCCACGGUGGGGGGUUUGGGGGCGUACAACCUGAAGUAGAUCCUGAUCUGAU